rnacentral:rRNA from 1 species
AGAGUUUGAUCCUGGCUCAGGAUGAACGCUAGCGGCAGGCUUAACACAUGCAAGUCGAGGGGCAGCGCGAGUAGCAAUACUUGGCGGCGACCGGCGCAAGGGUGCGUANNNNNNNNNNNNNNNNNNNNNNNNNNNNNNNNNNNNNNNNNNNNGAAACGUGGAUUAAAGUCCCAUAGAAUCAAGAUAUCGCAUGGAAAGAUGAUUAAAACUGAGGUGGCAUGAGAUGGGCAUGCGUCUGAUUAGCUAGUUGGUGAGGUAACGGCUCACCAAGGCGACGAUCAGUAGCCGACCUGAGAGGGUGACCGGCCACACUGGAACUGAGACACGGACCAGACUCCUACGGGAGGCAGCAGUGAGGAAUAUUGGUCAAUGGCCGGAAGGCUGAACCAGCCAUCCCGCGUGCAGGAUGACGGCCCUAUGGGUUGUAAACUGCUUUUAUACACCAAGAAAAACAUCCACGUGUGGGUGCCCGACGGUAGUGUAUGAAUAAGCAUCGGCUAACUCCGUGCCAGCAGCCGCGGUAAUACGGAGGAUGCAAGCGUUAUCCGGAUUCAUUGGGUUUAAAGGGUGCGCAGGUGGGAAAAUAAGUCAGUGGUGAAAUACUGCCGCUUAACGGUAGAAUUGCCAUUGAUACUGUUUUUCUUGAGUAUGGUUGAGGUAGGUGGAAUGUGUUGUGUAGCGGUGAAAUGCAUAGAUAUGACACAGAACGCCGAUUGCGAAGGCAGCUUACUAAGCCAUUACUGACGCUGAGGCACGAAAGCGUGGGGAUCGAACAGGAUUAGAUACCCUGGUAGUCCACGCCGUAAACGAUGAUUACUAGUUGUUGGCGAUACAUUGCCAGUGACUGAGCGAAAGCAUUAAGUAAUCCACCUGGGGAGUACGUUCGCAAGAAUGAAACUCAAAGGAAUUGACGGGGGCCCGCACAAGCGGAGGAGCAUGUGGUUUAAUUCGAUGAUACGCGAGGAACCUUACCUGGGCUCGAACGUAUAGGGAAUUAUGCCGAAAGGUAUAAGCCACUUUCUAGCAAUGGCCGUAUACGAGGUGCUGCAUGGUUGUCGUCAGCUCGUGCCGUGAGGUGUUAGGUUAAGUCCUGCAACGAGCGCAACCCUUACCUUUAGUUGCCAGCAUGUAAUGAUGGGGACUCUAGCGAGACUGCCACCGUAAGGUGUGAGGAAGGGGGGGAUGACGUCAAAUCAGCACGGCCCUUAUGUCCAGGGCGACACACGUGCUACAAUGGCCGAUACAAAGGGCAGCUACCAGGUGACUGGAUGCGAAUCUCCAAAGUCGGUCUCAGUUCGGAUCGAAUUCUGCAACCCGACUUCGUGAAGCUGGAUUCGCUAGUAAUCGCAUAUCAGCCAUGAUGCGGUGAAUACGUUCCCGGGCCUUGUACACACCGCCCGUCAAACAAUGGAAGC